UGGGUUUUAUAGCAUGCUCAGCUUUUGCAGGGAGAAUAGAUUUAACCCUUUACACCAUGUCUCAUCAAAAAGUUUAUCAAGUCUAGGUAUGGUGGCUCACACCUGUAAUCCUAGAACUUUGGGAGGCCGAGGCAGGAGGAUUGCUUGAGGCAAGGAUGUUGAGACCAGCCUGGGCAACAAAGUGAGAUCCUAUCUCUACAAGAAAAUUUUAAAAAUUAGCCAGACAUGAUGGUGUGCACCUGUAGUCUCAGCUACCUGGAAGGUUGAGGUGGGAGGAACACUGGAGCCUGGGGGGAUCAAGGCUGUAGUAAAGCCAUGAUCAGGCCACUGUACUCUAACCUGGGCAACAGAACCAGACCCUGUCUUAAAAAAAAAUGUUUAUCAAGAUGAGAGGGAUAAACACAUGUGAAACACCUAUAACAAUGCAAGUUAAUCUAUAACUGAAAAUUUGUUUAAAGCUUUAAGAUUCUAAAGAGUAUACAUACAUGGGAUCUGAAGAUGCUGAGGGGACAUUUUGUGGAGGACUCGGUAAGGAAGGGCUUUACCUGGGCAGAGCUUGGUAGAUGUGGAUUUAGGCAUUUCAAAUAAAUAAAUACUGUAGGUAGUACCUAUAAGUAUAUAUUGGAAAAACAUAUAUCUGCAUGCAAAAUACUUUUAUAUAUUCAUUUAUUUGUGUGGAUAUUGUCACUUAUCUGUGCAUUUAUACAAGGAGAUGCAAAUGACCUAUCAGUUGUAGAAUUUUCUCUUUGGUUCACUUAGGUUUGCAGCAUGAAUGAAUCAAUGUGUGAUGGAUGGCUACAAGAAACACACAGACCAUGUCCUGAAAUACAAUGAAGGCAACAAGCCUGGUUAGGUACUGAAAUAGUAACAGGUAUUGAAAUAGUACAGAAGCUUCUAAUCUACCAGAGAAAAUUCCCUGAGAAAUUACCAGAGAAAAGUUUGGUGUGAGGUGUUGCCUGUUGAAAAUGUCUCUAUCUCCACCACCUUUCAGAGUGAAGAAUUCUGCACCGGACCCCUAGCUUCUCAAGCCCAAGCUUGCACAUGGCAGCCCCUGGGUACCUCUAUUCUACUUUCUGUCUCUGGAUUUGGGCAACCAGGCAAAACCUGUCCCAGCCUUGUUGCAGCAGAGGUAAGGUCAUGUUCACAGGACUCAUUUUUAAUUUUCAGAAAUGUCGCCUAUAAUUUUACCAUCAUUAUUAACAUUUUGGCAUUUUUCCAUCUAGCCCUUUUCCCUGCUGUUACCUCACUACUGAAGUUUUACUAUAUAAGCAGUUUGCUAUACUCUUAAGGCACUGUGAGC
rnacentral:lncRNA from 1 species